rnacentral:lncRNA from 1 species
GGGAUCUCACAUGUUGCAGAUCGACGUCGACACCGAGGAAGGAGGGCUGACUGUCAACCCCGACUUCUUUGUGGAUUUUGGCACCGAGCCUGAAGGUCCCUCAUUGGCCCAUGAAAUGAGAUAUCCUGGGGGAGACUGCACCUCUGACAUAUGGAUCUAGGACGAAGGGUGUAGGGUGCAUAUGCAGCUGGAGAUCCAUGGUGUUAAGCUCACUGUAAUUAAGAUGGUUUCUUCCCUGCCUGCGGUGUUGUAUGUGAUGUGGUAUCAAUUGGAAUAAGUUCCUGAUAGAACCUCUGACAUUGGCUUCAUGGGAGCUUGUGCCCUAAUAAGAGUUGCCUCUGAUUCUGAAAUUUCUGAUGCUUUUGUAGGCCUUAUAUCUUCUGCUUGAAAUGUUCUAAACGAG